rnacentral:rRNA from 1 species
GGCCUANCACAAUNCAAGNCAGGCCUAACACAUCAAGUCGAACGCGAAAGGGACUUCGGUCCUGAGUAAAGUGGCGCACGGGUAGUAACGCGUGGAUAAUCUGCCCUUAUGAUCGGGAUAACAGUUGAAACGGCUGCUAAUACCGGAUACGCUCAAAAUGAACUUUUUGAGGAAAGAUGGCCUCUGCUUGCAUGCUAUCACGUAAGGAUGAGUCCGCGUCCCAUUAGCUUGUUGGCGGGGUAACGGCCCACCAAGGCAACGAUGGGUAGCCGAUUUGAGAGGAUGAUCGGCCACACUGGAACUGAAACACGGUCCAGACUCCUCGGGAGGCAGCAGUGGGGAAUAUUGCGCAAUGGGCGAAAGCCUGACGCAAGCGACGCCGCGUGAGGGAUGAAGGUUUUCGGAUCGUAAACCUCUGUCAGAAGGGAAGAAACUACGUUGUGCUAAUCAGCANCGUACUGACGGUACCUCAAAGAAGGCCGGCAAACC